GGUAUGGCCAGCCUGAUCAGCCAUGCCGCGUGUGUGAAGAAUGCCUUCUGGUUGUAAAGCUCUUUUUACCGGAAAGAAUGGCUCUGACUAGUACCUUUUUGUAUUGACCUUACCAGAAAAAAAGGCCCGGUCAACUCCGUGCCCCCCGCCGCGGUAAUAGAUCCGGGCGUUACCUUAAUUUAAUUUACUGGGCGGAAAGCGAGGUUGAGCUGUUGUUCAACACCGAUGUUAAACCCCCCAACUUAACCUGUGAAUUGGAUUGUGGACUGCUUGGCUGUAGUGUGGCAGAGGGGGGUUCAAUUCCACGUGUAGCAAUGAAAUGCGUUCAGAUGUGAAUCAAUACCGAUGGGCAACGCACCCCCCUGGAAUUGACUGACGCUCAUGCGCAAAGCGUGGGGAGCAAAUUAGAUUACAUACCCUGGUACUCCACGCCCUAUACGAUGUCAACUAUUUGUUGGGGAUUCAUUUCCUUAAUAACGUAGCUUACGCGUUCAAUUGACCGCCUGGGGAGGACGGUCGCAAGAUUAAAAGUCAUUGGAGGUUUGCCGGG
rnacentral:rRNA from 1 species